rnacentral:rRNA from 1 species
AUUGAACGCUGGCGGCAGGCCUAACACAUGCAAGUCGAGCGGAGCGGCGGACGGGCGAGUAAUGCCUAGGAAUCUGCCUGGUAGUGGGGGAUAACGUCCGGAAACGGGCGCUAAUACCGCACACUAUCAGAUGAGCCUAGGUCGGAUUAGCUAGUUGGUGGGGUAAAGGCUAACCAAGGCGACGAUCCGUAACUGGUCUGAGAGGAUGAUCAGUCACACUGGAACGGAGAAACGGUCCGAACUCCUACGUGAGGCAGCAGUGGGGAAUAUUGGACAAUGGGCGAAUGCCUGAUCCCGCAAUGCCGCGUGUGUGAAGAGGGUCUUCGGAUUGUAAAGCACUUUAAGUUGGGAGGCGGUACCAACAGAAUAAGCACCGGCUAACUACGUGCCAGCAGCCGCGGUAAUUC